rnacentral:rRNA from 1 species
AGAGUUUGAUCCUGGCUCAGGAUGAACGCUAGCGGCAGGCCUAAUACAUGCAAGUCGAACGGUAGACAUCUUUCGGGAUGUUGAGAGUGGCGCACGGGUGCGUAACACGUAUGCAACCUACCUUUUACAGGGGGAUAGCCCGGAGAAAUUCGGAUUAAUACCCCAUGGUACUAUUGAAUGGCAUCAUGAGAUAGUUAAAGAUUUAUCGGUAAGAGAUGGGCAUGCGUCUGAUUAGCUAGUUGGCGGUGUAACGGACCACCAAGGCGACGAUCAGUAGGGGUUCUGAGAGGAAGGUCCCCCACACUGGCACUGAGAUACGGGCCAGACUCCUACGGGAGGCAGCAGUAGGGAAUAUUGGGCAAUGGGCGAGAGCCUGACCCAGCCAUGCCGCGUGCAGGAAGACGGCCUAUUGGGUUGUAAACUGCUUUUAUCUGGGAAGAAAAGGCCCAUGCGUGGGACAUUGCCGGUACCAGAUGAAUAAGCACCGGCUAACUCCGUGCCAGCAGCCGCGGUAAUACGGAGGGUGCAAGCGUUGUCCGGAUUUAUUGGGUUUAAAGGGUGCGUAGGCGGCUGAUUAAGUCAGCGGUGAAAGACUCCGGCUUAACCGGGGCAGUGCCGUUGAUACUGGUCAGCUUGAGUGCUGCAGGGGUACAUGGAAUUGAUGGUGUAGCGGUGAAAUGCAUAGAUACCAUCAGGAACACCGAUAGCGAAGGCAUUGUACUGGGCAGCAACUGACGCUGAUGCACGAAAGCAUGGGUAGCGAACAGGAUUAGAUACCCUGGUAGUCCAUGCCGUAAACGAUGAUUACUCGCUGUUAUGUCUUUAUGAUGUAGCGGCCAAGCGAAAGCGUUAAGUAAUCCACCUGGGGAGUACGCCGGCAACGGUGAAACUCAAAGGAAUUGACGGGGGU